rnacentral:misc_RNA from 1 species
AACGCACAUUGCGCCCCUUGGUAUUCCGAGGGGCAUGCCUGUUCGAGCGUCAUAUAAACACAUCCCGUAAGGGGUCUUGGGGCCCGCCAUCUCGGCGGCCCUUAAAAGCAGUGGCGGCGCCAUCUGGCUCUAAGCGUAGUAAUUCCUCUCGCUAUAGGGUCCCGGUGAAUGCUUGCCAGCAACCCCCAACUUCUUAGUUUGACCUCGGAUCAGGUAGGGAUACCCGCUGAACUUAA